UAAUCAUCCAAAUCGGUAUGGAACACAUUAAUUAACUGAAAAAUGUUGCAUAGUAUGCCUUUAACAAACAAUAUAUAUUGGAUUUAGUGAACGUCAUGUUAGCGUGGUUUUUAAUUGAGUACUCUUUCAAUUACAGGAUUAUAGAUUAACUAAUAUUAUACUUAACCAUUUUUUCAGUGUACAGAAGUGAAAAACUCAUACGCAAUGGAGUUGGAAGGCCUAAAGAGGUCACUUCAAUUCCUAGAAGAUGCUGGAGUCACUGUUACUGACUUGACAACAGACCGUCAUUCCAGUGUUAAAAAGUUUAUGCGCGAGAUUUAUCCAUCAAUUAAUCACUGGUUUGAUGCCUGGCAUAUAGCAAAAGGUAUUACAAAAAAGCUUGACGCAUCAUCAAAGAAAAAGUUAUGUCACACCAUCUCACCGUGGAUCCACAGCAUCUCCAACCAUGUAUAUUGGUGUGGGGCAAGCAGUGAUGGAAAUGCUGAGCUGGUUGUGGCCAAGUGGAAGUCGGUGAUGAACCACAUUGUAGACAUCCACGAACACCCAUUUGAGAACUUUCCAACCUGUGCACAUGAUGAGUUGGUAGAGGACAGAGAGUGGAUUGCAGAAGGUUCAAGGGCCCAUGUUGAGGUGAAAUCAAUUGUCACUAACCGUACUCUGCUUGCCGACAUUGGUAAAUUGUCACCUCAUGUGCAGACGUCAA